rnacentral:rRNA from 1 species
AAACGUAGGGGGCGAGCGUUGUCCGGAAUUACUGGGCGUAAAGGGCGUGUAGGCGGCCCGAGUAGUCAGGGGUGAAAGACCGCAGCUUAACUGCGGGGCGGCCUCUGAAACCAUCGGGCUUGAGGACAGGAGAGGGGAGUGGAAUUCCCGGUGUAGCGGUGAAAUGCGUAGGUAUCGGGAGGAACACCAGUGGCGAAGGCGGCUCCCUGGCCUGGUCCUGACGCUAAGGCGCGAAAGCGUGGGGAGCAAACAGGAUUAGAUACCCUGGUAGUCCACGCCGUAAACGAUGGGUGCUAGGUGUUGGGGGUAUCGACCCCCUCAGUGCCGCAGUUAACACAAUAAGCACCCCGCCUGGGGAGUACGGCCGCAAGGCUGAA